GACGAACGCUGGCGGCGUGCUUAACACAUGCAAGUCGAACGGAAAGGCCCUGCUUUUGUGGGGUGCUCGAGUGGCGAACGGGUGAGUAACACGUGAGUAACCUGCCCUUGACUUUGGGAUAACUUCUGGAAACUGGGGCUAAUACCGGAUAGGAGCUCCUGCUGCAUGGUGGGGGUUGGAAAGUUUCGGCGGUUGGGGAUGGGCUCGCGGCUUAUCAGCUUGUUGGUGGGGUAGUGGCUUACCAAGGCUUUGACGGGUAGCCGGCCUGAGAGGGUGACCGGCCACAUUGGGACUGAGAUACGGCCCAGACUCCUACGGGAGGCAGCAGUGGGGAAUAUUGCACAAUGGGCGGAAGCCUGAUGCAGCAACGCCGCGUGCGGGAUGACGGCCUUCGGGUUGUAAACCGCUUUCGCCUGUGACGAAGCGUGAGUGACGGUAAUGGGUAAAGAAGCACCGGCUAACUACGUG
rnacentral:rRNA from 1 species